GUAAAAGAAAUACUAGGUGAAGGUUAGUGCUUAUCUUUAGAAGUGACAUAUAAUCUUUUAUCUUUAAAUGUUUCCAGACUUACCGAAAAAUCUUAAUUGGUCGAAAUCCAAUCAUAUACCAUGUUAUCAAUCUAAAAAGCCUAGAAAUUUGAUAAUUCUGAGCAAGAUUUAGAAUGCCCUGAAAAUCAGUUUGAUGUUUUUGUUUUGGGGUUCUAAAGGUCUCUAAUUUUCAGAGAACUUUUCAUAUGCUUAGUCAUAGUAGCUUAGGCAAGAGAUAUCCACAGUGAAG
rnacentral:lncRNA from 1 species